rnacentral:rRNA from 1 species
CAGUCGCCACGGUAAUACGUAGGGUGCAAGCGUUAAUCGGAAUUACUGGGCGUAAAGCGUGCGCAGGCGGUUUGUUAAGACAGAUGUGAAAUCCCCGGGCUCAACCUGGGAACUGCAUUUGUGACUGGCAAGCUAGAGUGUGGCAGAGGGGGGUGGAAUUCCGCGUGUAGCAGUGAAAUGCGUAGAUAUGCGGAGGAACACCGAUGGCGAAGGCAGCCCCCUGGGCCAACACUGACGCUCAUGCACGAAAGCGUGGGGAGCAAACAGGAUUAGAUACCCCCGUAGUCCCUGUCUCUUAUAC